UCUUCUGUUUGUCCCUGUGCUGUGUGGCCAGCCCGGGCAGCGUCAGUGAAGCAGAGGAGUGCGGAGUUGAUGGGAGGACCACGUGGAACCUCACGGAAACAGACAAUCAUAAGGCCACCCUUCCGCAGUGUGUUCUGUGGGAGGCGCUCUCCAGAGAACCUGUCACCCACGCACACAGUUACUGCCGCCCUAGCCAGGUGAGCAUCUCCCAGUUUGAUGAUGGAGGCACACUACCUCCUGCCUUUGCCAGCCCUUAGGAGAGGCUUAUGUCCUGCUCUGGGGAGCUCUGGACUGGAGUGGUGAUGAGCUGCAGGUGCACGGAAAGGUGCUACCCACAUCUGCUCCUUCUUCUCUGCUCUUCUUCUAGAUUUACAAAAGCAGGAGGCAUUGAAAGGCUGAAUUUACUAUUUAAAGUCAUGAAGACACUCGGUUUAAUUGUGGGCAAAUAUACUGAAUAAGAGGACAAUAUAAUAAUAGUAAUAAUCAGAAUCGUCAC